CAGCAGCCACGGUAAUACGUAUGUCACAAGCGUUAUCCGGAUUUAUUGGGCGUAAAGCGCGUCUAGGUGGUUAUGUAAGUCUGAUGUGAAAAUGCAGAGCUCAACUCUGUAUUGCGUUGGAAACUGUGUAACUAGAGUACUGGAGAGGUAAGCGGAACUACAAGUGUAGAGGUGAAAUUCGUAGAUAUUUGUAGGAAUGCCGAUGGGGAAGCCAGCUUACUGGACAGAUACUGACGCUGAAGCGCGAAAGCGUGGGUAGCAAACAGGAUUAGAUACCCCUGUAGUCCCUGUCUCUUAUACA
rnacentral:rRNA from 1 species